rnacentral:rRNA from 1 species
AGAGUUUGAUCCUGGCUCAGAUUGAACGCUGGCGGCAGGCCUAACACAUGCAAGUCGAGCGGUAGAGAGAAGCUUGCUUCUCUUGAGAGCGGCGGACGGGUGAGUAAUGCCUAGGAAUCUACCUUCGGAUGGGGAAUAACAACCGGAAACGGUUGCUAAUACCGCAUAAUGCAGCGGCACCUAAUGGUGACAGUUGUUAAAGCGGGGGAUCGUAAGACCUCGCGUCUGGAGAGGAGCCUGCGGCGGAUUAGCUAGUUGGUAAGGUAACGGCUUACCAAGGCUAUGAUCCGUAGCCGGCCUGAGAGGGCGGUCGGCCACACUGACACUGACAUACGGGUCAGACUCCUACGGGAGGCAGCAGUCGGGAAUUUUGGGCAAUGGGCGAAAGCCUGACCCAGCAACGCCGCGUGAAGGAUGAAAUCCUUCGGGAUGUAAACUUCGCAAGAACGGGAAGAAUAAGCCGGUAUUAACACCACCGGUGAUGACGGUACUGUUUGUAAGCUCCGGCUAACUCCGUGCCAGCAGCCGCGGUAAUUC